CAGGAGGAGCAACCAGGAUUGGAUCUUCUGUUAGGGGAAAUCACGAGACAGGCGGAGCAGGUCCAUCAAAUAUCUAGGGAGAUCAUUAGUUUAGGUCUCUAUUUUGUCAAACUUAUGUAAAUAUUUAACUUAAACAAAAGGGAAUUUACGCGUUUAUGUAGUAUAACUGAUGUAUUUAUAAAAGUUCAGCUUAGCAUGUAGUACUUUAGUUAUCUUGUAAUUAACCCUUUUGAAAUGUUUAAGAACACUUAUUAUGUUGUAA